rnacentral:rRNA from 1 species
GACGAACGCUGGCGGCGUGCCUAAUACAUGCAAGUAGAACGCUGAAGAGAGGAGCUUGCUCUUCUUGGAUGAGUUGCGAACGGGUGAGUAACGCGUAGGUAACCUGCCUGGUAGCGGGGGAUAACUAUUGGAAACGAUAGCUAAUCCCGCAUAAAAUUGAUUUUUGCAUUAUAUUUAAUUGAAAGAUGCAACUGCAUCAUUACCAGUUGGCCUUGCGUUGUAUUAGUUAGUUGGUGAGGUAACGGCUCACCAAGGCGACGAUACAUAGCCGACCUGAGAGGGUGAUCGGCCACACUGGGACUGAGACACGGCCCAGACUCCUACGGGAGGCAGCAGUAGGGAAUCUUCGGCAAUGGGGGGAACCCUGACCGAGCAACGCGGAGUGAGUGAAGAAGGUUGUCGGAUCGUAAAGCUCGGUUGUAAGAGAAGAACGGGUGUGAGAGUGGAAAGUUCACACUGUGACGGUAUCUGACCAGAAAGGGACGGCUAACUACGUG